AUGAACGCUAGCGACAGGCCUAACACAUGCAAGUCGAGGGGCAUCGGGCGUAGCAAUACGCUGCCGGCGACCGGCGGAUGGGUGAGUUAACGCGUAUGCAACCUGCCUUCAGCAGGGGGAUAGCCCGUUGAAAGACGGAUUAAUACCCCGUAACACAGGGGCUCCGCAUGGAGAUUAUUGUUAAAGGGAUACUUCCUUCGGGGGGUAUUCCGGCUGAAGAUGGGCAUGCGUUCCAUUAGGUAGUUGGUUGAGGUAACGGCUCACCAAGCCUACGAUGGAUAGGGGAACUGAGAGGUUGGCCCCCCACACUGGUACUGAGACACGGACCAGACUCCUACGGGAGGCAGCAGUGAGGAAUCUUGGUCAAUGGACGGAAGUCUGAACCAGCCAUGUCGCGUGAAGGAGGACGGCCCUAAGGGUUGUAAACUUCUUUUGCAGCGGAAUAAAGUAUUCCACGAGAUGGGAUAUUGCAAGUACGCUGCGAAUAAGGAUCGGCUAACUCCGUG
rnacentral:rRNA from 1 species